rnacentral:misc_RNA from 1 species
GAUGAAGAACGUAGCGAAAUGCGAUAAGUAAUGUGAAUUGCAGAAUUCAGUGAAUCAUCGAAUCUUUGAACGCACAUUGCGCCCGCUAGUAUUCUGGCGGGCAUGCCUGUCCGAGCGUCAUUUCAACCCUCAAGCCCCCGGGUUUGGUGUUGGGGAUCGGCUCUGCCCUUCUGGGCGGUGCCGCCCCCGAAAUACAUUGGCGGUCUCGCUGCAGCCUCCAUUGCGUAGUAGCUAACACCUCGCAACUGGAACGCGGCGCGGCCAUGCCGUAAAACCCCAACUUCUGAAUGUUGACCUCGGAUCAGGUAGGAAUACCCGCUGAACUUAAGCAUAUCAAUAAGCGGAGGA